rnacentral:rRNA from 1 species
GACGAACGCUGGCGGCGUGCUUAACACAUGCAAGUCGAACGAUGAAGCCAGCUUGCUGGUGGAUUAGUGGCGAACGGGUGAGUAACACGUGGGUGAUCUGCCCCAAACUUUGGGAUAAGCCUGGGAAACUGGGUCUAAUACCGGAUAUGACCAUGGGAUGCAUGUUCUGUGGUGGAAAGCUUUUGCGGUUUGGGAUGGGCCCGCGGCCUAUCAGCUUGUUGGUGGGGUAAUGGCCUACCAAGGCGACGACGGGUAGCCGGCCUGAGAGGGCGACCGGCCACACUGGGACUGAGACACGGCCCAGACUCCUACGGGAGGCAGCAGUGGGGAAUAUUGCACAAUGGGCGCAAGCCUGAUGCAGCGACGCCGCGUGAGGGAUGACGGCCUUCGGGUUGUAAACCUCUUUCAGUAGGGACGAAGCUUUCGGGUGACGGUACCUACAGAAGAAGCACCGGCCAACUACGUGCCAGCCGCCGCAGUAAUAC